rnacentral:sRNA from 1 species
UAUUCUGCCCCAUGGGGAAGGAUGAGAAGCUUCGACUAAGGUUCGACUCGAGCGCCAGCGAGAGAACGUUGCCGCAGGCAACGGCCCGAAGGGCGAGG